CGGCUGACAUGGCGGCCGGGCCGGCGUCGGCGCGGCGCCGGGGGGCGGCCGGGGGGCGCAGGUGGCCCCGCACGUGGCUCUUGAGGGCGGCCAGGUUGAAGAGCCGCUUGCCGCAGGCGCCGCAGCCGUAGACGCCCGUCUGGUGGCUCUCGCGGUGGUUCACCAGGCUGCCGGCGUGGCGGUAGGUGCGGCCGCACUGGGCGCAGCGGAAGGGCCGGGCUUCGGCCUCCGCCGCCGCCGCCRCCUCCUCCUCCUCCUCCUCCUCUUUGUGCAGCUCUUCUUCAUCCUCCUCCUCGUCGUCAUCGUCAUCAUCGUCGUGGUGCCGCUCGAAGGCGGCCGGAGCCGCCGCCGCCUCGGCCAGGUAGCGCCGCAGGUUGCGCAGGAGGCGCCCGGCCGCCGCCAUACUGGGAGGGGGGGAGGUGUCCGGUGAGGGGAGGGGGCCCAGGCGUCCGGGAGGGGCCCAGGCGUCCGGGAGGGGCCCAGGAGUCCGGGAAGGACCCAGGUGUCCGGGGAAGGGCUCAGACAUCCGGGAAGGGCUCAGGAAUCCGGGAGGGGCCCAGGCGUCCAGGGACGGACCCAGGUGUCCAGGAAGGACCCAGGCGUCUGGGAGGGACCCAGGAAUCUGGGAGGGGCCCAGGAAUCCAGGAAGGACCCAGGUGUCCGGGAGGGGCCCAGGCGUCCGGGUGGGACCCAGGUGUCCGACUUUGGCCCCUCCCCCCCAGCAGCUCCAGGGGGCCCAGGCAUCCGGGUGCCCCCCCACGUCGUACCUGGGGGCUCCGCCGGCGUCCCACGAUGCACCAGGCUCCUCGGUUCCCGGUUGGGGGGGGGCUGGAAGGAGAAGGAUUAAAUUGAGGAAAGUGAAACCCAAAUUUCUCAUGUUCCUCCCCAAAACCGUGGGGGGUCCAACCCCCACCGAGAGAAGAACCCCCCCCAACCUACCCCAAAAGCCBCCAAUUCUCCCCCAAAACGGGGUUGUCGCACCCCCCCCCCAAGCAGGAAUCUUCUCC
rnacentral:lncRNA from 1 species